UACGGGGGGGGCAAGCGUUGUUCGGAAUUACUGGGCGUAAAGGGCUCGUAGGCGGCCAACUAAGUCAGACGUGAAAUCCCUCAGCUUAACUGGGGAACUGCGUCUGAUACUGGCGAGCUUGAGUGCAGGAGAGGAACGCGGAAUUCCAGGUGUAGCGGUGAAAUGCGUAGAUAUCUGGAGGAACACCGGUGGCGAAGGCGGCGUCCUGGACUGCAACUGACACUGAGAAACGAAAGCCAGGGUAGCAAACGGG
rnacentral:rRNA from 1 species